GCUGUAAACCAGGGGUGCCCAUUACGUUGAUCCUGAUCUACCGGUAGAUCUGAAAGGCAUUGUGGGUAGAUCAGGUCGACCAUCCACCCUGACAGUUUUUUUUUAAAUAACAAUCUUUAUUUAAGAAGUCAAUUACAAAUCACAGAAAAUCCGUCCUAACAAUUUUUUUUUUUAUCCGUCCUGACAAUGACAUUCGAACUUUCUCUGCCACACGCUUCACUGCGCAUGCACAUUCAACUCCGCUAAUUAAUGCACAACUCUCGUAAAUCUACUGUCCGGACUAUGCAUCCCUGUCUGGUUUAAUUCAGUGCAAGUCGUCAGAGUAA